UUUGUUACAAAAGUUAAAUCUAUGUUAUACGUUUUAUUUUGAAAACCGGAAAUUGUCAGGUGACAGGAACCAGGAAGUGAGUCGGCUCAGAACUGCCUUUUGUAGUAGUUGUUUUUUCUCUAUCCAGUUGAGUCUGCCUGCAUUCUAUUCCUUUUGAUAGCAUCGUUGUUUUACUCUAUCCCUAAUGUCAAUAAACCUGUGGACAACGAAGGACCGUCUUCAGAGUGGUGAUGUGGGGAAAGAGUUCAUCUAACUGCCAAGGUGUAUCGGAGCACAUAUACCGAGGGCGGCAUAAGUGAUGAAGAAAGAAGUUAAAGUACAACAGAUAAAAACACAGGGAAACAUUUAAUAUGCUGAAGCUGUUAAAAGAGUGGAAAAGGAAAAGAAGAAUCAGAGCGAAGAAGUUCAAAAAAGGGUAGUACGAGAAGAUCAUCAAGAAAAGAAGGAGAAAUGGGAAGAGCAGAAGAAAAUAGUGACAUUCAUAGCAGGGGUGAUAAAUGUGUGAUAGGGUCGGCCCAAGUAGGCGUGUAUUGGCUGGCACCCACAGGUGCACCAGAUGAGGACUAAUGAGCCCAUAACAUCCGGCUUGAUAAACCAGGAAAUGACCUCGGGAAUUGUUUGAGUUUCAUGUUGCCGUCGCUGGUUGGCACGCUAUUUGAGGCUGCCAAACUAUACAUUGGGCAUUAGGAGCCCUUGGUUUGUCUGACUGUGGCGGCGCGAGACCCAUAGACGCAUAGAGAUGUAAAGUCUUUUCACUGGAAUUAACAAAGGACGACCAGGUAGGCAAUUCAGGCAUGGUUUUAAGUGCAUUCACCUGGGCAAAGCGACUGUGACGUGGGCCAUAUUAUUAGUUGGUCAGAUUACUAUACGUGUAAUGUAAUCAUACUGCCCUAUUUUAAUUAGUUAAUUUUUAUUCUAGUUAUUCUCAAUUUUGUGAGUAGUAGAGGAAUGAUGUACUGGGAAAAUGUGCAAUAUCUGCUAAUAUGAACAAUUUGUGUUAUAGAUCUACAAACGAUCAUCAUUCGUAGCCGGACCACUGUUUUCCUCGUUUCGUUUUGUUUCUUUUCUCUUUGGCAUACUAAGCAGUUAAAGCCACGUGUUGUGUACUGUUUGUUGAUGUCUGUUCUCCUUGUGGGCCCAACUCUGGUAUAGCUCUACUGUAAGAAUAUAGCGGGCAUUUCUCUGCCCUUGCAACGCUUACAGUGUAAACACUCUUAAUGAUUGAGUUUUGAUAUAAUUUGUUUCUUUUUUGUGAUUUUGCUUGAUGUCAUCGUGUGACCUAAUUUAGGUGUUUUAACGUUUGCAGUGUUCACUAGCAUGUGCAUGAGUAUAUCAGAAAUCACGCAUAGCUGAUUUGUCCGUUGUAAAUUCAGCAGUACAACCAAUUACUUGGGUGGGUUCUCUGUGCCUAUGUUGCUCAUUGUGUUUUCUAGUAUUUUGUCAUGAUGUAUAGUAUAUUAAUUGAUCUAUGCUUUGUUA